AUCCAACCUGGAUCGAUAUUUGGUUUUAAUGCAGACGAGUGCACUGAGUCUAGCUUCACACAGGCAACUGGUAGCCUACCAUGAGUUUUAUGGUGCUUUCAAGGCAACUGGGAACUCUGAAAAAUACGAGGUCAAAUCAUGACGUCAGUGAUCUUUAGGUGGAAAUCGGAGCUCAAGAAAUAGGUCCGAGUUCCCGAGUUGGAAUUCGGAGUUGGAUGACUAUUCAAAACUAUUUUUUCCCAGUCGGAGCUCGUUUCUUUACAAGUUCCCAGUUUUCUUGAACGCAUUAAACACGGAAGUCGGAGUUGUCAGAGUUCCCAGUUCCCCGCACGGUAUAUUCCCUUUGAGUCAGGAACCAAAGUGCUCUUUCAAGCAUUGGAGGGAUUUUGGAAAGUCUCCCACAACCCCAUUUUCACAUUGGGCGACUGCUCUAGACUAUGUGACACUUUUCUACUUCAUGUGAGGGAGAGGAACAACAUCAACAUUGCAUUGAUAUGCUGGCACUGAAACAUGAGUGAGUGAGGUAUUGCUUCCCACCAGGAGAAGAAGAGCGUCAGAUGAAUCCUUGGGUUUUCUUGUGGUGGUGUCUGCUGGGGCCAGGGUCUUGCGUGGUCUUCAGGAAUCUGGUGGACAACGGGCCUCCCGAAUGGCGCAGUGGUCUAAGGCUCUGCAUCGCAGUGCUAGCUGUGACACUAGAGAUUCUGGUUUUGAGUCCAGGUUCUGUCGAAGUCUGCUGCGACCGGGAGACCCAUGGGGCGGCCCACAAUUGGCUCAUCGUCGUCCGGGUUAGCGACUCCUGUGGCAGGUCGAGCGCAGUGCAUGCUGACAUGGUCACCAGGUGUAUGGUGUUUCCUCUGACACAUUGGUGCGGCUGGCUUAAGGAUUAAGUGGGCAUUAUGUCAAGAAGCAGUGCGGCUUGGUUGGGUUGUGUUAUGGAGGAAGCACGGCUCUCGACCUUCGCCUCUCCCGAGUCUGUACAGAGUUGCAGCGAUGAGACAAAACUGUACUAACAAUUGGAUACCAUGAAAUUGGGGAGAAAAAGGGGUGAAAAAUAAACUUUUUUUUUUUUAAAGGAGUCUGGUGGACUAGAGGUGGACAAGAGCAAAGCAACUGUUGAGGUUGCCUAUUGACUAUAAUGAUAUGCAUAUAGCCUAUUGACUAUAAUGAUAUGCAUAUAGCCUAUUGACUAUAAUGAUAUGCAUAUAGCCUAUUGACUAUAAUGAUAUACAUAUAGCCUAUUGACUAUAAUGAUAUGCAUAUAGCCUAUUGACUACCGCCCCGUAGCACUCACAUACGUCAUCAUGAAGUGCUUUGAGAGACUAGUCAAGGACCAUAUCACCUCCACCCUACCUGACACCCUUGACCCACUCCAAUUUGCUUACCGCCCAAAUAGGUCCACAGACGAUGCAAUCUCAACCACACUGCA
ensembl:lncRNA